rnacentral:lncRNA from 1 species
UAUCACUUGGGAUUUGUAGAAUAGAUCAGAGUCUUACCAGUGAUCUUGAAUUGGUGAAUUAGUGAUUGUAAACCACAUCACUAUUACUGGUGUUGGGGGACCUCAUAAUAAUAAUUCUGUUCAUAACAGAUUAUACAUAAGGUCCCACAUGCUCAGACAAAGGAGGCACUGCGGCCUGCAUGUAAAGUCCUCAUCCUGAUAGUAGUGAAUGAGAACAAAGAGAUUUCAAAUCUCAGCGCCAAAACCAGGCGCCAGGCUGGGGACCCAUACCUGGCUCCCCCGCUGACAUCCAACUCCCGCUGACACAAGCGACAAACGGAGGAGAAACUUGGACGUCAGCCGUCCUGAUUGGACCAAACAAUAGGACGGGCGUGACCAAAAACACGGUUAUAAAAGUCGCCGUGACCGAAGACUCGUCCCUUGUUCUCUCCCUUGUUCUCUUCGAUCACCCGUUACCCCUUGUUCUCUCCCUUGUUCUCUUCGAUCACCCGUUACCCCUUGUUCUCUCCCUUCUUCUCUUCGACCCUCUCGCUGCCCCACCUGGAGCUCCCUCUGCCCCCGGCACGCCUGGAACCUCCACCGCAGCCAGCAGCUGAACUAACGGGGACGUCGUCACAGAGAACGGGCCUGAUCACCCAUCUACUUCCAGCCACACGGCAGGAAACCGCCAGCGUAACCGCCUCACUCGCCGCCGCAUCAGCUGAUCGCGACGCGAUCACCGCGACGCACACCUGGACCGGACCGGACCGCAACAGCGCAAGCACGCACGCACGCACGCUCGCAACGCCGGAUCUUCUCACCAGGAUUGAGCAGUAAGGCAGAGGCAUUCUUAAGUCUGAGCAGAGUAGAACUCUUAGGGGAUCAGUAAUUGUUUUGUUGUUGUGUUUUCUUUUCCUGAACACGCGAUCUGGUCACUGUGUAUUUCCGCUAUCACGUGACUGUAACGCUGUUACCGAUCUACGUGAAUCUAAGAGGUGCACAUUGAAGUGUUGUAAUCUGUGAUUUCGCUAGCUUAAGUGCUUCAGUGUGUUACUGUGUAGUGCUCUGUUUCUGCUGCGACCACGCCAAGCGCACGUUUCAACCACCGCACGCUUCCGCGAUCACGUGACUAUAUCGCAGAAUAUAGCCCCACGUGUUUGUGUGACCACAAGCCUUAUCCACGCUAGUCCCACUUCACACUCCUUUACACGCUUCUUUCCCUGUGAGCGCCAGACACGCGGGCUCCAUUCAAAGGGCUCACCGGCACACGCGCGCAGCUGUGCCACCUCACCACGCCCCUAAAGGGGGGCGCUCUCCCUCCUCCUUUCUCUUUCUCUCUCUCUCUCUCUCACACACACACACACACACACACACACACACACACACACACACACACCUCUUAUCUUAGGUAACGCGCAUACACAUACAGAACGCCAGACGAACACAUCAUAAGAUUAAGUUGUGAUUUGCUGAGUUAUUCAAGAUAGUGUUGACACUAGAGUUAAUAUUAACUGUUUAAUAAAGCGUUCAUAAUUUAAUUGGUCGUUGUUUGU